rnacentral:tRNA from 1 species
GAGCGUAUAGCUCAGUAGUAGAGCCCAUGCUUAGCAUGCACAGGGUCCUGGGUUCAAUCCCUAGUACCUCCA